AGUUCCUGGCCUUGGGACCCCGAGCUGCACAGCCCCAGCACUCUCCCAGUGCACCCCUCCUCCACCUUCCCAAGCUGCCUGAUGGGACCAGCCAAUGAAAGGGAGGUUCCCCUUCAAGUGCCUGCACAGCCACUCCCCAGCCACUAGGGCAUCUCCACCUGCCUGAGGGUAAGAAAGGGCAGGUGGAGUUCAGCAGAAACAGCCAUGCUCACCAAAUAUUCCAUCUGGAACCCGAAGCAUGUGAUCUCCCCGCAGUCUCUUCCGGUCUUGCGACCCAGAAGGCCUUGUGGUGACAUGGUGGAACUGAGCUGAGCUGGAAGCAGCCCAGGUUGCCAAAUUGUCACUUGGAAGACACCCCUGGCAACCUUUGUAGAGGGCAGCAAAAUUUCACCCAAGGGGAUCUCCCAUUCCUCUUUCCUGGAAGAGACUCCAGGGUAAGCAAAAAAUAGAUCCCAUCUCACCUCUACAGGGUGUGAGAAUCCUACAGAACUCUUGGUGCAUUUUGUAAAACCACAAACUUCUUGAGUUUGGAAAGAAUUCUGGAGUCUUUCAGUCCUAAGUCACAGACCCCAGCAUUGAUUAUGGAGUCUACAGCAGCACAGAAUUCCAGAGUCACAGAAAUCAAAGCUCCAGGACAGUCCUGGAAAGAAACAGGAGAGCGUGGCCACCCAUCUGCCCAGCCACCAAGGCCUAACCCACCAGCGGGGCUAUAUUGGCUUCUUCUUGGGGACGCCCAGUACAGCAGGCCCCCUGGUCCUCCCUCCCCAGGCCUGUGUCUCACGUCCCCACAGUGGGAUUGCAAGCAAGCUGUCCCCAUGCAGCAGAAGCAUGACUUUGUGUUUGAAGGACGAAUGCCAAGUUUCCUCUCUGGGGCCCUCUCGCAAACCUCCAUAUAUCACCUUCACAUGACCAGGCUGGCAGGCCUGCCACCCCCAGCUCUGCUUGGCUGUGAUAAACAUAGAAGACAAUGCAUUGCCUACACCCUCAGGCCCUGAAAUGAGGGAAGGGGUGGAAAAAUCCAUCGAAGC
rnacentral:lncRNA from 10 species